CAGCAGCCGCGGUAAUACGAAGGGGGCUAGCGUUGCUCGGAAUCACUGGGCGUAAAGGGUGCGUAGGCGGGUCUUUAAGUCAGGGGUGAAAUCCUGGAGCUCAACUCCAGAACUGCCUUUGAUACUGAAGAUCUUGAGUUCGGGAGAGGUGAGUGGAACUGCGAGUGUAGAGGUGAAAUUCGUAGAUAUUCGCAAGAACACCAGUGGCGAAGGCGGCUCACUGGCCCGAUACUGACGCUGAGGCACGAAAGCGUGGGGAGCAAACAGGAUUAGAUACCCCGGUAGUCCCUGUCUCUUAUCA
rnacentral:rRNA from 1 species